UAGGGAAUCUUCCGCAAUGGACGCAAGUCUGACGGAGCAACGCCGCGUGAGUGAAGAAGGAUUUCGGUUCGUAAAACUCUGUUGUUAGAGAAGAACAGCGCAUAGAGUAACUGUUAUGCGUGUGACGGUAUCUAACCAGAAAGCCACGGCUAACUACGUGCCAGCAGCCGCGGUAAUACGUAGGUCCCGAGCGUUGUCCGGAUUUAUUGGGCGUAAAGCGAGCGCAGGCGGUUAGAAAAGUCUGAAGUGAAAGCCCCCGGCUCAACCGGGGAGGGUCAUUGGAAACUGGUUGACUUGAGUGCAGAAGAGGAGAGUGGAAUUCCAUGUGUAGCGGUGAAAUGCGUAGAUAUAUGGAGGAACACCAGUGGCGAAGGCGACUCUCUGGUCUGUAACUGACGCUGAGGCUCGAAAGCGUGGGGAGCGAACAGG
rnacentral:rRNA from 1 species